rnacentral:misc_RNA from 1 species
UGAGAUUCAACUCUAAGGCAUUUUCU